rnacentral:rRNA from 1 species
GACACGGUCCAGACACCUACGGGUGGCAGCAGUCGAGAAUCAUUCGCAAUGGGCGAAAGCCUGACGGUGCGACGCCGCGUGGAGGAUGAAGGCCCUAGGGUCGUAAACUCCUGUCAUCAGGGAGUAAGGGCUUGCGCAGUAACUGGCGUGGGUCUUGAUAGUACCUGAAGAGGAAGGGACGGCAAACUUCGUGCCAGCAGCCGCGGUAAUACGAAGGUCCCGAGCGUUGUUCGGAUUUACUGGGCGUAAAGAGUCUGUAGGCGGCGGGGUAAGUCAGAUGUGAAAUCCCGGGGCUCAACCUCGGAACUGCAUCCGAUACUGCCUUGCUAGAGUAUUGGAGGGGAGUCUGGAAUUCUCGGUGUAGCAGUGAAAUGCGUAGAUAUCGAGAGGAACACUAGUGGCGAAGGCGAGACUCUGGACAAUUACUGACGCUGAGAGACGAAGGCCAGGGGAGCGAAAAGGAUUAGAUACCCUUGUAGUCCUGGCAGUAAACGGUGCACGCUUGGUGUGGGAAGGUUCGACCCUUUCCGUGCCGGAGCUAACGCGUUAAGCGUGCCGCCUGGGGAGUACGGUCGCAAGAUUAAAACUCAAAGAAAUUGACGGGGACCCGCACAAGCGGUGGAGCAUGUGGCUUAAUUCGAUGCAACGCGAAGAACCUUACCUGGUCUUGACAUGCAUUCUGUCCCCUGUGAAAGCAGGGUAGGUUAGCAAUAACCGGUUUGCACAGGUGCUGCAUGGCUGUCGUCAGCUCGUGUCGUGAGAUGUUGGGUUAA